UGCUUUCUGUGUACAAUAUUUACAAAUAGUUUGUUUUUAACGUUAAUGUGGUGGCAGGUAUUUACAUAAUUUUUAUAUUUAAAAUUAGUCAGUUUACAACAUAAUGAUUAUGUUUUAACGUAUUUUUCAUCGUUAUACUGAGUACUGAAUAGAAAUUCCUCAUUUCAAGUGGAACCAGUGGACUCAAUACUAUAAUGGACCUGUACAUCCAACCAUACAUCAUGUAAUUAUUACAGUGUUCAAACUGUACCACUAAAAACAAAAAAAAAAGUAUUCUAUUGCUUGCCUAAACAAAAUUCCCACGAAUGUAUAUUGCUACAAUUGGCACAUGUAAACAAGAACAUUGCUAGUCUGACUCUGAAAUGAAAAUUGACGUGAUUAGAUGCAUCCUCUUAAUGACUGAAAAGUGAAUGAACACAACUUGUGAUAUCUAGUAGGAAAUGUCUUGUGACAGAAAGGAGCAAAAAAUUUUUAUACUUCACAUUGCAUAUCAGUUUUGAACAUAUUUAUUUGCUUGAGCAUUACAAUCUCUACCCUUGACAGUCUGCAUUGUAAAAAGUUUAAUUUUAUUUUCUUUGAAACAAUAAAUACAGCAAAAGCAACAUAUAAACUGAAUUUAAGAAAACACUAAUUGGUGUAUCAGUAUUUAAAAAAAAAAUUUCUAGUUCUUCACAUUGAAAUAACAUUUAAAAAUUAUUUUAUUUCACUGGAGGGAUGAUAUAGCUUGGCUUUUUUUUUAACACGUUGAAUAAUGCAAGAUAACAUUUUAAUUUUAACAUAUAGGUAUUCAUACAACAAAGUCCAACAAUUUCAAGUGUUUCAUACUGUUAAGAUUUUAAUUACUUAAAAUUUAUGAACGUUAAAUUUAUCGGGAAGUAUGUCAUAACAUCACUCAAAAACAUUAAAUGCUCGUUCAUUUGGCCGCUAACUCUUAUUACAAUCUAGAAUACAAAUAUUAAUUGAAUGUAGGACACUUUUUAGUUAUCACCUACACAUGAAAAACACCAAUACUGAAGGAGAUAUGGAAACUAAACUUAAUUAAGACCUGUUAGUAUUACUGGAUUUCUAUUUUUUUUAAAAAGUGAACACAGAAGCACCUGUCAUACUAUUAAAUAGUAUGACUUACCGUAAGGUUAAAUAGUUGGUUAAUACUGAUGUAGAUCUAAAUUGUAUUUUUUAUUUAUUUUAUUCUGCUAUGCUGUUUCGUGUAACAUAUCCUCACAUGAGUUAAUCUCAUGUCCCUAAACCCUUUGUUUGAAACACUUAAUAAAGGAAAAAAAUAUUUUGUCUUUAGGAAACACACUUAAACAAUAUUUAAGUCAUGACAUUUAAAUGCCAGCAUUUUUACACAUUUAAGGUGAAAACAGAAAAAUUAUUUCAUUUAAAUUUUUUAUCUCCUAGGCAGCUUGUCUGUUAAGGCUGGAAACAUUAGACUAGAUUUUUCUGAGUACAAUCGUUGAAACAAUUUGGUGUUUUUAUAUAUAUGCAAGUUGCAUGUUUAGGUAUAUAUGGAAGGUCACUUAAAGAUGUGCUUAAAAAAACAUCAAAAAAUCUUAAGUAUAUAAAAUGAGAGUUAUUUGAAAGACAAGGUUACUUAACAAGCCCACACACAGUUAUUUGAUUAUUUAAACUUCCACAUUGUCACAAGCAAUUUUUUUUUCUCCACAUUUUAAUGAUGGCUAGAAGAGUAAGUCAAAAUAAGAAAUGUACAAAAAAAGUCAUGGUAGUUGAAAGUAGAAGCAAAAAAUGAUAAAAA